rnacentral:sRNA from 1 species
AGCUACAGAACCUUCCUUGCCUGGGCCCUGCUGAUUUCAAUCUCAACUCACAGACUGAAAUAGAGGCUGGAAAACACAACUCAUAGAACUGGACACGUGACUGAGAGUUCAUUCCAGAUCAACAGAAGAUGAUCAAGAUCUGAUAUAAGAGGAUAACAGGAAUGCAUCACAAAUACAUCUAACAACACCAGUCCUAUUUGUUGGCACAAGGGAGACUGUGGAAUCUUCCAAAGCUGUGCUCCCUGCUAGACUUGGCUUCACCAUCUCCCACUGUAAUGUGUGUUAAGUAGCUGCCACCAAUCACUUGACAUUGUUUUGUGAACUGGAGCUCACUUCUCAUCAAUGAGAGAUUCUUCUUGCAGAUGUGAAAAGAAUGUGGGGCUAUCAACACAUGAAAAAUAAUGAAGAUACAUAUACAUCCAUGUGAACGGAAGUGCAACACAUUAAUAAAAAAAGCAAAUGCAUUCUAAAGGAAAGAAUUUAU